GCAAUUUAGAAGAGCAGUAUGUGCCCCAGGAAUGUCUAUUGGGGGCCUCAAGGCUGCAAACUCUGGAAAAACCCACACCUGGUUAAUCAAUAAUCAGAAGGAACCUUUUGCUGGACCACUGAAACUGCUUGUAACAAGUUUUCUUUAAGGGACAUGUCUAAUGUAUAAAUAAGGGGGAAAAGUUUCAGGUAGUUGGACUCUUUUUGGACUCUCCCUCUGGAUACAUCUUGCAGUCCCCACCAGCAGACAGAAGACUUGGCCACCGGAAGCCUGACGCUGUGCCACUCAAGAGCCACACUCAGCUUUGAUCUGACUGUUUUGAAUACAGCCCAACGUACAAAAUGAUAAUUUUGCAUAUAGUCUUUGGAGGACUGUUCUUGGGAUUUCCAGUGUGGGAUUAUAACACAGAAGUCAUGAGAUGGUGAAAAAAAGAAAAGAAAGGAGAUUGUUCAUGCUCAAGAUUGAAUUUAUACCUGGAGUCCCAUCCCCAACAAAAGUGAUUUCUGAGAGAAAGAGAGCUGGUGAGAAAAUGUGUGCUGAGAAUGGCCAUGCCUUAGGGAGCAGAGCUGCUACUGCUCAGCCACUGAUGG